AUUGAACGCUGGCGGCAGGCCUAACACAUGCAAGUCGAGCGAGCGGCGGACGGGUGAGUAAUGUAUGGGGACUGCCCGAUAGAGGGGGAUAACUACUGGAAACGGUGGCUAAUACCGCAUACUAUCGGAUAACCCAUAUGGGAUUAGCUAGUAGGUGGGGUAAAGGCUCACCUAGGCGACGAUCUCUAGCCGGUCUGAGAGGAUUAUCCGGCACCCCUGGACUGAGACACGGGCCGAGCUCCUUCGGAGGCAGCAGUGGGGAAUAUUGCCCAAUGGGCGCAAACCUGAUGCCGCCAUGCCGCGUGUAUGAAGGAGGCCUUAGGGUUGUAAAGUACUUUCAGCGGGGAGGCGUUACCCGCAGAAGAAGCACCGGCUAACUCCGUGCCAGCAGCCGCGGUAAUAC
rnacentral:rRNA from 1 species